AACGAACGCUGGCGGCAUGCCUAACACAUGCAAGUCGAACGAGACCUUCGGGUCUAGUGGCGCACGGGUGCGUAACGCGUGGGAACCUGCCCUUAGGUUCGGAAUAACUCCCCGAAAGGGGUGCUAAUACCGGAUAAUGUCUUCGGACCAAAGAUUUAUCGCCUUUGGAUGGGCCCGCGUUGGAUUAGCUAGUUGGUAGGGUAAAAGCCUACCAAGGCGACGAUCCAUAGCUGGUCUGAGAGGAUGAUCAGCCACACUGGGACUGAGACACGGCCCAGACUCCUACGGGAGGCAGCAGUGGGGAAUAUUGGACAAUGGGCGAAAGCCUGAUCCAGCAAUGCCGCGUGAGUGAUGAAGGCCUUAGGGUUGUAAAGCUCUUUUACCCGGGAUGAUAAUGACAGUACCGGGAGAAAAAGCGCCGGCUAACUCCGUG
rnacentral:rRNA from 1 species